GACGUAGGGCGCGAGCGUUGUCCGGAUUUAUUGGGCGUAAAGAGCUCGUAGGCGGCUUGUCGCGUCGACCGUGAAAACUUGGGGCUCAACCCCAAGCCUGCGGUCGAUACGGGCAGGCUCGAGUUCGGUAGGGGAGACUGGAAUUCCUGGUGUAGCGGUGAAAUGCGCAGAUAUCAGGAGGAACACCGGUGGCGAAGGCGGCAUCCUGGACCGACAUUGACGCUGAUGAGCGAAAGCUAGGGGAGCAAACGGG
rnacentral:rRNA from 1 species